GUUUGAUCCUGGCUCAGGAUGAACGCUGGCGGCGUGCUUAACACAUGCAAGUCGAGCGAAGCAAUUUAAGUGAAGUUUUCGGAUGGAUCUUAAAUUGACUGAGCGGCGGACGGGUGAGUAACGCGUGGAUAACCUGCCUCACACAGGGGGAUAACAGUUAGAAAUGACUGCUAAUACCGCAUAAGCGCACGGUACCGCAUGGUACAGUGUGAAAAACUCCGGUGGUGUGAGAUGGAUCCGCGUCUGAUUAGGUAGUUGGUGAGGUAACGGCCCACCAAGCCGACGAUCAGUAGCCGACCUGAGAGGGUGACCGGCCACAUUGGGACUGAGACACGGCCCAAACUCCUACGGGAGGCAGCAGUGGGGAAUAUUGCACAAUGGGCGAAAGCCUGAUGCAGCAACGCCGCGUGAGUGAAGAAGUAUCUCGGUAUGUAAAGCUCUAUCAGCAGGGAAGAAAAUGACGGUACCUGACUAAGAAGCCCCGGCUAACUACGUGCCAGCAGCCGCGGUAAUACGUAGGGGGCAAGCGUUAUCCGGAUUUACUGGGUGUAAAGGGAGCGCAGACGGCACUGCAAGUCUGAAGUGAAAGCCCGGGGCUCAACCCCGGGACUGCUUUGGAAACUGUAGAGCUAGAGUGCUGGAGAGGCAAGCGGAAUUCCUAGUGUAGCGGUGAAAUGCGUAGAUAUUAGGAAGAACACCAGUGGCGAAGGCGGCUUACUGGACGGUAACUGACGUUGAGGCUCGAAAGCGUGGGGAGCAAACAGGAUUAGAUACCCUGGUAGUCCACGCC
rnacentral:rRNA from 1 species